rnacentral:rRNA from 1 species
CCUACGGGAGGCUGCAGUGAGGAAUAUUGGUCAAUGGACGGAAGUCUGAACCAGCCAAGCCGCGUGCAGGAAGACUGCUCUAUGAGUUGUAAACUUCUUUUGUCAGGGAACAAUAGCUGUGACGAGUCCCGAGCUGAAUGUAACUGAAGAAUAAGCAUCGGCUAACUCCGUGCCAGCAGCCGCGGUAAUACGGAGGAUGCGAGCGUUAUCCGGAUUUAUUGGGUUUAAAGGGUGCGGAGGCGUCGUGUUAAGUCAGGGGUAAAAUCUCGGGGCUCAACCCCGGCCAGCCUUUGAUACUGGUCGACUUGAGAGGGCGUGAAGUAGGCGGAAUGAGUAGUGUAGCGGUGAAAUGCUUAGAUAUUACGCAGAACUCCGAUUGCGAAGGCAGCAUACCGACCCCCAUCUGACGCUGAUGCACGAAAGCGUGGGUAGCGAACAGGAUUAGAUACCCCGGUAGUC